AUUGAACGCUGGCGGCAUGCUUUACACAUGCAAGUCGAACGGUAACAGGGGCUUCGGCCCGCUGACGAGUGGCGAACGGGUGAGUAAUGUAUCGGAACGUGCCCAGUAGUGGGGGAUAACUACUCGAAAGAGUAGCUAAUACCGCAUGAGAACUGAGGUUGAAAGCGGGGGAUCUUCGGACCUCGCGCUACUGGAGCGGCUGAUAUCAGAUUAGGUAGUUGGUGAGGUAAAGGCUUACCAAGCCUGCGAUCUGUAGCUGGUCUGAGAGGACGACCAGCCACACUGGGACUGAGACACGGCCCAGACUCCUACGGGAGGCAGCAGUGGGGAAUUUUGGACAAUGGGCGCAAGCCUGAUCCAGCAAUGCCGCGUGCAGGACGAAGGCCUCGGUUGUAACUAGCUUUGUUACUAGAACGAAAUAGUCUCUGG
rnacentral:rRNA from 1 species